AAAUUCCUGCGGUGUUCGAGAAUAAGGUUGUUUCGAACCAACACAAUUUAUAUGGGAUUCAGAACUUUGGGUAUCAAUUGCAGGCCCUCGCUUCGGCGGAAUGGGAAGCGUGAGAUAUUCAAGAAGAAACCCACCUGCACAUGCAGGUCCGGAAACGACUUUAUAAUACGGCAUUGUGGGAAUUUU
rnacentral:other from 1 species